GGUGCAGGCGGUGAAGUCAGUCGGAUGUGAAAGCCCAGGGCCCAACCCUGGAACUGCAUUCGAAACUGCUUCACUAGAGUCCCGGAGGGGAAGGCGGAAUUCCCGGUGUAGAGGUGAAAUUCGUAGAUAUCGGGAGGAACACCAGUGGCGAAGGCGGCCUUCUGGACGGUGACUGACGCUCAGACCCGAAAGCGUGGGGAGCAAACAGGAUUAGAUACCCUGGUAGUCC
rnacentral:rRNA from 1 species